AACCUGGCUGAGGGAGAUCACCCGAACUGUGCCCUUUUGAUACCAGUCUUUCAGCUGUUCCGAACGGACCGCAAAGCAGACUUAUUGGGGAAAACGCGAGGAGGCAGAAUCUGCUUUUAUAUAAACAAAGAAACCUGUGAGGUGUGGGCUAUUACCUUCGCAACUGGACUCGGACACCCUGCACCGUCUACUGCUGUUUGUGAAUUCGGAUUAUUCAUCUCAAGACUGUGGCUCGAUUCCUAACCUUCCUAACUCCUGCCUCUGUGAGUACUCUGGCCAUCUCAGGACCGAAUUUUGGACAAGCCUUCUGGAUAGCCUGACUCCCAAACCCAGUGGUAUGAUUCCCCAAAAUUACUCAGCUCAGUGAUCUAAUGGACCCGAGGAACCUUCCAACCAUUGUUCUGGUGGAACUCCCC